GUGCUCGCUUUGGCAGCACAUAUACUAAAAUUGGAACAAUACAGAGAAGAUUAGUAUGGCCCCUGCACAGGGAUGACACAAAUUAGUAAAGCAUUACAAAAUUUUU